GACGAACGCUGGCGGCGUGCCUAAUACAUGCAAGUAGAACGCACAGUUUAUACCGUAGCUUGCUACACCAUAGACUGUGAGUUGCGAACGGGUGAGUAACGCGUAGGUAACCUGCCUGGUAGCGGGGGAUAACUAUUGGAAACGAUAGCUAAUACCGCAUAAUAUUGAUUAUUGCAUGAUAAUUGAUUGAAAGAUGCUAUUGCAUCACUACCAGAUGGACCUGCGUUGUAUUAGCUAGUAGGUGAGGUAACGGCUCACCUAGGCGACGAUACAUAGCCGACCUGGGAGGGUGAUCGGCCACACUGGGACUGAGACACGGCCCAGACUCCUACGGGAGGCAGCAGUAGGGAAUCUUCGGCAAUGGACGAAAGUCUGACCGAGCAACGCCGCGUGAGUGAAGAAGGGUUUCGGAUCGUAAAGCUCUGUUGUAAGAGAAGAACGGGUGUGAGAGUGGAAAGUUCACACUGUGACGGUAGCUUACCAGAAAGGGACGGCUAACUACGUG
rnacentral:rRNA from 1 species